rnacentral:rRNA from 1 species
UACAGAGGUGGCAAGCGUUGUUCGGAAUUACUGGGCGUAAAGGGCGCGUAGGCGGCCUUCUAAGUCAGACGUGAAAUCCCCCGGCUUAACCUGGGAACUGCGUCUGAUACUGGAAGGCUUGAGUGCGGGAGAGGGAUGUGGAAUUCCAGGUGUAGCGGUGAAAUGCGUAGAUAUCUGGAGGAACACCGGUGGCGAAGGCGGCGUUCUGGACUGCAACUGACACUGAGGAACGAAAGCCAGGGGAGCAAACGGG